AUCGAGGUUGCCUAGGGUGCCGGGUCACUCAGAGGUGAAGACAUCAACAGCUGCCACUCUCCUCGAGGUCGAGCUCGAGUCUGCUUUGGAAAUACUGCGAGAGCCCCCACCAACCGCUGGACGGGCUCCCAGGUCGCUGCUCGUUUGCUCCCGCCUGCGUGUGAGAGGAAGAAUGCCCCUUGAAUGCAGAUGGAUUCAUUAGGGUUCCAGCAGAUGGUGCCAAAAAGUGUGGGCUGGUGCACAAAAGUGCGUCUUUGUGCGGUCAGGAACGUUCCUGAGAGGCGAAGGAGGCCGCUGUCGCUCAACUCACCUUCACAUUAGGCAACACAACAGCCAGCAGAGUGGAGCGGGACGAAGAGGUUCUCGGAUGAAAGGCGAUGGUGUA